UACGGGGGGGGGCAAGCGUUGUUCGGAAUUACUGGGCGUAAAGGGCUCGUAGGCGGCCAACUAAGUCGGAUGUGAAAUCCCCAGGCUCAACCUGGGAACUGCAUCCGAUACUGGAUGGCUUGAAUUCGGGAGAGGGAUGCAGAAUUCCAGGUGUAGCGGUGAAAUGCGUAGAUAUCUGGAGGAACACCGGUGGCGAAGGCGGCAUCCUGGACCGACAUUGACGCUGAGGCGCGAAAGCCAGGGGAGCAAACGGG
rnacentral:rRNA from 1 species